UGGAACAUCAAUCUUCAAGAACAUUUAAACCCUACCUGGGUUUUAUUUUCAUUAACCCAAAAGGCUCAAAGCAAUGGACCAACUGAUGGUCAUCUACAUCAGUGGAUCUCAACCUUCCUAAUGUUUCAACCCUUUAACCCAGUUCCUUACAUUGUGGUGACCCCCAAUCGUAGUUUCAGUGCGGCAGAGGAAACAAUUCACAGGAUGAAGAGACAAGCAGAGAAUGUGAGAAACAUUUGUCAUCUGUUCUUCUGUCAAAAGAUUAAUAUCCAGAAUUCACGAGAAACUCAACAAAAAUCAACUUCCCCAAUUAAAAUUUGAGUGAAUGGC
rnacentral:lncRNA from 1 species